GCCCGGGUGGUGAAAUUGGUAGACACAUCGGACUUAAAAUCCGCCGCUUGCCUGCAUAAGGGGCGUACCGGUUCGAUUCCGGUCCCGGGCACCA
rnacentral:tRNA from 1 species